rnacentral:rRNA from 1 species
UACGUAGGGGGCGAGCGUUGUCCGGAAUGACUGGGCGUAAAGGGCGUGUAGGCGGCCUGAUAAGUCUGGAGUGAAAGUCCUGCAUUUAAUGUGGGAAUUGCUUUGGAUACUGUCGGGCUCGAGUGCAGAAGAGGUAAGUGGAAUUCCCAGUGUAGCGGUGAAAUGCGUAGAGAUUGGGAGGAACACCAGUGGCGAAGGCGACUUACUGGGCCGUAACUGACGCUGAGGCGCGAAAGCGUGGGGAG